rnacentral:lncRNA from 1 species
CCUGGGUGCAAAUCCUCAAUAUGGAAAAGGUUUUGCAGCUGUAGGGGAUUUCAGCCAAUUCAGAGGACUUGGUCUGCAUAAGUGGGAAUUCUCAUUCAGAUUUGACCAAACCAGGUGGAGUUGGUGAAAUCCAAUGGAAACAGGAGUGAAAGGCCAAAACAAGAACAAGAAGAACAAGCAAUACGAUUACUGAGCACUCUAAUGUUUUUUAGGACCAGCAGUCCCGUAGAUUCUCAAUGUUUGGUGAGAGACAUGCUUAGAUUGUGCUGUUCCUACAAUGCGAAGCCAGAUAACACUUUGACCAACUUCAGAAAAACUGGUAAGUACAUUGAGAAACAUAUGUAUGGUCCUAUUAGUUUUUAUGUGUUUGGUACACAAAACAUUUCUCUGAAAAUGUAGUAACUCUUUAGUCUUCAAUAUUUAUAAAUGUUAAGCAUG